rnacentral:rRNA from 1 species
GACGAACGCUGGCGGCGUGCCUAAUACAUGCAAGUAGAACGCACAGUUUAUACCGUAGCUUGCUACACCAUAGACUGUGAGUUGCGAACGGGUGAGUAACGCGUAGGUAACCUGCCUGGUAGCGGGGGAUAACUAUUGGAAACGAUAGCUAAUACCGCAUAAUAUUAAUUAUUGCAUGAUAAUUAAUUGAAAGGUGCAAUUGCACCACUACCAGAUGGACCUGCGUUGUAUUAGCUAGUAGGUGAGGUAACGGCUCACCUAGGCGACGAUACAUAGCCGACCUGAGAGGGUGAUCGGCCACACUGGGACUGAGACACGGCCCAGACUCCUACGGGAGGCAGCAGUAGGGAAUCUGCGGCAAUGGACGAAAGUCUGACCGAGCAACGCCGCGUGAGUGAAGAAGGUUUUCGGAUCGUAAAGCUCUGUUGUAAGAGAAGAAUGGGUGUGAGAGUGGAAAGUUCACACUGUGACGGUAUCUUACCAGAAAGGGACGGCUAACUACGUG